AAUUUAAUUUAAUUUAAUUUUCUCCCUGCAGGGUCUUUGCGAUCUCUCUUUCACUUCCAUAUAUGCUGCCAAAGACAUCAAGGAUUUUUGCCUGAAUCAGUGUCCGAAGAUCUUUCCACAACCCAGUGCAGGGCUUGGAAAACAGUGGAAAUAUGAAGAUGAACCAUGUCGCCACUAGCUUCUGUAAACACAUCCACUAACGGAGUAGAAUUGUCACUAGUCAACCAUCCCAAGACACCCCACUUGGCUGCUUCAUCUGCAUCAUACUUUUCUUCAGAUUUUGCUGUACCAGUCCCCAAGGACAGGACUAGGAAUCGACCAUAAUCCAUUGGCGCUGUGGGGAAGAAGUCAGGAUUCUUCCGAGUGAUUUCUUUGGAAACUUCGCUCAUGGCAACUAAAGUCUGGAAAUUCAAAAGGAAAUUAUUGAUAGGAUUCAUCAAUAUGUUAAGAGUUAUGCAAGUUCAAGAGCUGAAGAUAAAUGAUGAACAUACUGGAUUAUUUGCAGCCACACCACCAUCAAUCAGAUUGAACUCUCUAACUUUGCCUGACGGGUCCUUGGUUUCAAAAUAAUGGGCAGGGAGGUAAGUUGGGGCAGCUGAAGUCCCGAUGCAUAUAUCAGAUAAAAGGGCAUCCGUGGAUGGGUCGUUCUUCACCUAAAGAAUAAAGCGGUACGUCUUGUAAUUAUGGACAUAUAUUUUGCAGUGUGAAGCGAUUCUUUUCUCAAGCAACACAUAGAAUUUUAAGAGUUGUGUUUGUAUAUAUAACGAACCUGAUAGCUUGAAAAGAUUGUUGGCUGAAGGCGCUUGAUGUCAAAAGUUGGGAUCACAAUGUUUGUCAUGGUCUGGUGCAGGCGUUUAUCUCCCAAUUUUUCCUUGACAAUGCUAUGCAGAAAUUUGCCAUCGUAUUGUGGUCCUGUCAAACUCUUGAUCAGUUUUCCAGCAGAAGCCAAUGGAGACCUAUUGCCAAAGAGUAUACAGUUAGUAUCUAGACAUUUGAAGGAAGAAAAAAAAAGUUUUAAAGCACUUGAUAUACUAUAUUUAACUCAUUGUUAUGGCAUUCAUAUAUGGGAUUAUUACCCGUCCUGGGGAAAGAUUUUAGGGCAGUUCUCAAGGUAGAAGUCAUUAAUGUCUUUGGCGGCAAAUAAAGGGCGGUUUUGCUCAUUAGGGGCAGCUAGCAUAGCAGUCACGAGGCCACCAGUGCUGGUGCCUGAAAUCACAUCAAAGUAGUCUGCAAGUCUUGCGUCUGCACCAUCCAGCUUCUACAAUUUGAAUAGCAAAACAUACUAGUCAGUGAUAGGAGAUGAAAUUACGGAGUAUAUAUUUUAUACCUGGAGAAAGUAAUUAAACAUUACAAUUAUAUACCGAUAUAAAUAAAACUAUUAUCCUGCAUGCAAGUGUGAUUUAUUCUUAUCUACUCUAUUUUAUACCUCAAGUGGACCAAGGAAUCGUUCCCUGUACGUAGUUUCUUAUUCUACUUAUUUUAUAUAUUAUCAUCAUGAGCUAGCACAGGCAUAAGAAAAUGCAUGAUCUUGCAGGUCUAUUUGACAUGCAACAAUACGUCCUUAUAUAAAGAGACCGAUUUCUAGACUACCUGAAGCUCGGACUCUAAAAAGGCAAGGAUAGUUCCUGGUAUGAUUCCUCUUAUUCCACCUCCAUCGAUGCUAAGAACAGUGAUUUGGUUUCCAAAAGUUGGAGGUUGAAUGGGUGAUCUUAAAGUCUCGAUAUGAGAGAUUGAGGAGGAAUUCAAAGGCAUGGCUAGCUAAUAUUGAUCGAGAGCCUAGAAGCGGAAGAGUUAGAGAUGUUUAGCUUAAACUUCCUGAGAGUCUCGGGAGAUGUAUAUAGCUAGUGCUGAAAUCUAAUUUAAGUUUUGAAACUAGUAAUUUCCCAAAGGGAGUGUGGAGUUAUUUAUAGACUUCUGUGCUUCAUGAAGCAUGGAAUUUUCAAUUAAGUCGAAAGAUUUUACUCGCCCAAA